rnacentral:tRNA from 1 species
CGGGAUAGAUCAGCUGGU